rnacentral:misc_RNA from 1 species
AACAACAAUACAUAUAGCCGAGACCGCAGAAAGAAAAACAGAAAAAAUCCAAAAAAAUUUAAAAACGCCAGGCCCCAAAUGGAACCUCAAUGUUCUAGGGAGAGAAACUCCAGAACUUGAGAGAGAAAAAGACUAUGGAAGAGAAAUUUUCCAGAUUUUGAGACACCACACAAAGGAGAGAAAUUCUUUCUCGCUUCGUACACACGGUUUUUAAGAGAGGGAAUAGAAGAUCUGAUUGGGUUGUGUUCGUUUAAUGGCGAGCGGCUGGAUGAAGUCACUGCAAUGCAAAUCCAGAGCUGUGGAAGACGUUCUUAUCCCCAACCCCAAGCAUUUAAUACCCAGUUCCAGUUGUAGAAAGAGCACUCAAAGCAUCAAAGAUGUGGUUGAAACGGCCACCGCCACCAGGCAACAAAGACCCACAAAGUCCAAGCGCCACUCCCACCACAACCAACGACAGAAGCAACAAAAACCCACACCCAUUUCCCCAAACCAUACCAAACCCAAACCUAAGCCCGAAUCCGUUUCGGCUCCCGAUUCACGACAUUCUCGUUCUACCAGAAACUCCGACCCGCUAUUUCCAGCCCUGACCGACGUUCCCGACGGCCACCCUUCGCGUAAUGUGGUAGAAAUUAUCUUUCACACGAGCUGGAGUAACAAGUCCUUCCCGGGUCGGAUCGAGAUGAUUUUCAAAGUUCACAACGGGUCGAGAACGGUCUCAAGGUUCGAAGAGUAUCGCGAGAUGGUAAAAACCCGGGCCGGAUUAUCUGUAGGGAGCACGUGGAAGGAGAAUGCUCGGUGCGUCGCGGACGGCAAUGAAAUGAUGCGGUUCUACUGUCUGGGUCCCACUGGAGGGGUUUAUGAAGCCGGGAUCGGCGCGUGGGUUUUCCCGGGAGGAAAGGGGGCUGCGAUUUGCACAUUUUCAGGGAGCGGUGCAGCGCACGAGAGUGCUGGCGGUGGCAGUGGAAGGAGAGCGAUGCUGGUAUGCCGAGUGAUAGCGGGUCGGGUGUCAAAACAAAUAGCCUUGGAAUCGUUGUUGGAGGGGCAGGUCGGGUUUGACUCGGUGAGCGGGGAAAAUGGGCAGUUGCUGGUGUUUGAUCACCGUGCAGUGUUACCUUGUUUUCUUAUUAUCUAUAAAUUGUAAAAAUACGUGGAAAUUAUUUUCUAUUAUUAUUAUUAUUAUUGUCCCCUAUGAAUUAACCUAAAUAUAUAUGAAUAUCAAUGGAAGUCAUGAU